UUUGGUUCGAUCAACUCUAAGUUGAAGUUAUUACUUCAUACCUGAGUUGUUUGAAUCAAAACUUCCUAGCUUGGACCCUUUGUAAGCAUUCUUUCGUUCUUUUAUGCGUUUUAAGCACGAAAGUCAAACAAUGUUUGACUUUCUGCUUUGACCAGGUUAUGGUCAACACAAAGUUCGUUUGAACAUUGCAACGUGAGCGUAAUCACGAUGGUUAUAGUCUCGUGUGACUAUACCUACUAAUUACCACGUUGAUUAGGCGUAGUGGCGAGUCGUAGUUUCGGUCAAAAUGCGUAUUCAUGCGUAUUUUGUAACCAAACUACUCUUGGGUAUCAAAACACUUUGUUUGAUAUCAAAACCUGUAUUCUAACUUAAUGUUUUAACAUGUUUAGCUCGUCACUCUUAAUCUAGUGCUUAUAUAGAGUCGUAAGUCAAGUUGUCUUAACAACCGCUUAGACUUUCAAACUAGACCCGUUUGGUCGAUCAUUAGGAUCCGACCAAACAUAUUUUGUGACCAUAGUUGCAUAGGGAAUAACCUUCCGAGGUUAUACCUUAUGGUCACUUCGUUUAAGUAGUUGUAUGAUAGGUAGUUUAUAUGCCUUAGGAAAAUGACCAAAAUGCCCUUUUUACGCAUAAAUUCAUUUUAAGCAUAUGUAACCUAAAUUUUCACAUCUAAACUAAUUAGGUAACAUUAUUAGACAUGUUGAGGCAUAUAAUACUUGUCAUAGGACUAGUUAGGCGGUCCGAACGCGUUUCCCGCGAACGACGCGUUAAAGUAGCGUAAGUUACCUAAACGGGUCGUAAUGGGUCGUAAGCACUUAGGUUAGGUUUCGAUUUAGUAUGUAGGCUUUGUUAAACCAUAUCAUAUGAGUUCCAAUACUCAUUUGGUCUACGAAACCUCAUCCUAUCCGAUCUUCCGAUUUAGGUCCGGUUUAUUUACGUAGUACUUAUAGUAGGUGCCGAUUGAUUUCCGUGAUCCCUCUAGCUUUGCUGGUUGUUACUCAAGACUUCUAAGCAUGCUCAAGUGUUGUUGAAUGAUGUUGAUUGCUAGGAUGCAUGCCCACAUAGGACUAGACGAGGCCUUAGUGACUUAAUAACAAUGAUAGACUAUGUUUAACUUGUUUGUUUAGAUUUCAAGAUGAUUUCAAGAUGAUGUAAAUGUUUAAUGUUUAAUAAAACGAAACUUC
rnacentral:lncRNA from 1 species